GUCCAAUCUGCUGUGGACGUGGGAUACAAACACGGCUGUUGAGGCCCAUCACGGAGCGACGUUGGCUCUUACGCGGUUCAGCGUGAGCUGAGAGGACUCCCCAGGCAGAGCAGGAUGCCCCAGUGUUAAAAUGAAGUUUUCACAGAAAGAUAUCCACAAAUCAGAAUCUCCAGCCCUGCAUAAUUCAACAGUUUGACUCAGUGAAUGUUUAUGGAAUUCCCGAAGGCAGAGCUGCUUGAUUUGGGAUCUAGGACCACCUACACCAUCUGAGAUGUUUCUUAAAAAGACAAACUCCUGGGACCUACUCCAGACCUACUGAAAAACAUCAUCUCCCAGGGGUGGAAGGAUGAAGAAAUUCAUAGAUCUAUACAAUGGAGUACUAUUCAGCAAUAAAAAGGAAAAACUACUGAUAGACACAACAUGAAUCUCAAAU
rnacentral:lncRNA from 1 species